rnacentral:lncRNA from 1 species
AGGCCGCGGCGGCGAAGACGUGCCGCGGAGACACUUGGGAGGUACGACCCGCGCGGGAGUGCGCUUGAGCGGACGGCUGGCCAGUAGUGGAAGGCGAGGCUGGUUGAUGGUCUCCAGCUGGAAUGGAUUGGGAACUGGAAAAGUCAGAAGUCAGGGACAAGAAGAGGCUAACAUGACUGGUACCAGUAUAAUUUAGUGAAUCACCCCAUUUCUAAAGAGGAGCCCAGAGGAAGACUGGUCAUCUCUUGCAGAUCUCAAAACCAUGGCUCAGUUGGCUCAGG